UAUCAAUAAGCGGAGGAAAAGAAACCAACAGGGAUUGCCCUAGUAACGGCGAGUGAAGCGGCAACAGCUCAAAUUUGAAAUCUGGCGCAAGCCCGAGUUGUAAUUUGGAGAGGAUGCUUCUGGGCAGCGGCCGUUCUAAGUUCCUUGGAACAGGACGUCAUAGAGGGUGAGAAUCCCGUAUGUGACCGGCGCGCACCCUCCACGUAGCUCCUUCGACGAGUCGAGUUGUUUGGGAAUGCAGCUCUAAAUGGGAGGUAAAUUUCUUCUAAAGCUAAAUACCGGCCAGAGACCGAUAGCGCACAAGUAGAGUGAUCGAAAGAUGAAAAGCACUUUGGAAAGAGAGUUAAACAGCACGUGAAAUUGUUGAAAGGGAAGCGCUUGCAACCAGACUUGGCGGCGGUGUUCCACCGGGCUUCUGCCCGGUCCACUCGCCGCCGCCAGGCCAACAUCAUCUGUGGCCGCCGGAGAAGACGCGGGGAAUGUAGCUCCCUCGGGAGUGUUAUAGCCCCGCAUGAUACGGCGCGCCGCGGGUGAGGUNCGCGCUUCGGCAAGGAUGUUGGCGUAAUGGUUGUCAGCGGCCCGUCCUUGAAAACACGGAACCCAAAGGAGUCUAACAUCUAAUGCGGAGAUGUUUCGGGGUGUCAAACCCUUGCGCGUUAAUGAAAAGGUGAAACUGGAAGGUGGGAAACUUUUUGUGCACUCAUCGACCGGAUCCCUGAUGUCCUCGGAAUGGUAU
rnacentral:rRNA from 1 species